AGGCCCAUAGCCAAGCGGUAAGGCAAGGGACUUUGACUCCCUCAUGCGCACGUUCAAAUCGUGCUGGGCCUG
rnacentral:tRNA from 1 species